GGAGGGGUGGCUGAGUGGCCGAAAGCACCGGUCUUGAAAACCGGCGACGGGAGACCGUCCCAGGGUUCGAAUCCCUGCCCCUCCGCCA
rnacentral:tRNA from 1 species